ensembl:lncRNA
GUACCAGGCAAAGAUUUUCACCAGCAUUCCGCUUAGCCAAGGCGGAGAUAACAGCGCUGCGAAGCACUUGGAAUAAAUCCGCUCUUCCGAGAUUCCUCCGGGGUGCUCCUCUUCAGCUCUGUUUUCCCCGGGCUUCGUAAGCGGCCAGCCUUCAGCAAGAAGUCCGACGGGAGGAGUAAGAGCGCAGAGCACGGUGCCAAGUUCCUCUCCGUGCGGCUGUUGGUUGGUGACUCACGGGAGCUUCCCAGCUGCCACCACCCCUUCCUGCCGGCGCUCAGCGAGGGGUGACUCAGGUGUGCUGGGAACUGCACUCCCUGCCC